AUCCCUGUUGCACAGUGGUUAGUGCGUGACUCUUAUAAGCCAAAGAUCAUUUUGGUUUUAUGGAAGACAUGUCAAGGUCCGGGGUUCGAACCCCCGCAGGGAUA
rnacentral:tRNA from 1 species